CUCAGCAAUCUCAGAAAAAACUGACGUUUACAGUUUUGGAAUGGUACUGCUUGAACUUGUGAGUGGAAGGAAAAAUUGCUCGACCCGAACACAGAGCCACAGCAUGGACAAUAGUAACAGCGGUGGGGGCCAAUCAACAUCANNNCAGGAUCAGGAGUUGUUUAUUUCCCAUUAUUGGCAUUGGAUAUGCAUGAGCAAGGGAGGUACAUGGAGCUUGCUGACCCAAGGCUAGAGGGGAGGGUGACAAGUGAAGAGGUGGAA
rnacentral:misc_RNA from 1 species